rnacentral:rRNA from 1 species
CUGCCUCUAGUUGCCACCAUUACUCUCAGGAGUAGUGGGGCGAAUUAGAGGGACCGCCGUAGUUAAUACGGAGGAAGGAAGGGGCCACGGCAGGUCAGUAUGCCCUGAAACUUUGGGGCCACACGCGGGCUGCAAUGGUAGCGACAAUGAGUUCCUAAUCCGAAAGGAGGAGGUAAUCUUCAAACGCUACCACAGUUAAGAUUGAGGGCUGCAACUCGCCCUCAUGAAUAUGGAAUCCCUAGUAACCGCGUGUCAUUACCGCGCAGUGAAUACGUCCCUGCUCCUUGCACACACCGCCC